rnacentral:rRNA from 1 species
UACGGAGGGUGCAAGCGUUAUCCGGAUUCACUGGGUUUAAAGGGUGCGUAGGCGGGCAGGUAAGUCAGUGGUGAAAAUCUCCGGGCUUAACCCGGAACUGCCGUUGAUACUAUCUGUCUUGAAUACCGUGGAGGUGAGCGGAAUAUGUCAUGUAGCGGUGAAAUGCUUAGAUAUGACAUAGAACACCAAUUGCGAAGGCAGCUCACUACGCGAAUAUUGACACUGAGGCACGAAAGCGUGGGGAUCAAACAGGAUUA